rnacentral:rRNA from 1 species
GACACGCUGGCGGCGUUGGAUUAGGCAUGCAAGUCGAACGGUAGGAUACCUUCGGGUAUCUGAGAGUGGCGAACGGGUGAGUAACACGUAGGUGAUCUACCCUCAAGAUUGGGACAACCCAGGGAAACUUGGGCUAAUACCGGAUGAAAGCAGCAGUGAUGUUGUUUGAAAGGUGGCGUAAGCUGCCGUUUGGGGAUGAGCCUGCGCUCUAUUAGUUAGUUGGCGGGGUAAAGGCCCACCAAGGCGAUGAUAGAUAGGCGGCCUUAACGGGUGGUCGCCCACACUGGGAUUGAGAUACGGCCCAGACUCCUACGGGAGGCAGCAGUCGAGAAUAGUCUACAAUGGCCGAAAGGCUGAUAGUGCGACGCCGCGUGAACGAAGAAGCCCUUCGGGGUGUAAAGUUCUUUUAUAUGUGAGCAGUGCUUUCUAUGUGAACAGCAUGGGGAGAGAGAUAUUAGCAUAUGAAUAAGCAACGGCUAACUCCGUG